GGUGGAAUGCUGGCAAGAAGCAGCGGGAAUACGUAUGUGGCAAGCGUUAUCCGGCGGUAUUGGUCAUAAAGGGCGGCUAGGCGGUUUAUUAAGGCUGAUGUGAAAAUGCGGGGAUGAACUCCGUAGUGCGUUGGAAACUGGUAGUCUAGAGUAUUGGAGAGGUAGGCGGAACUACAAGUGUAGAGGUGAAAUUCGUAGAUAUUUGUAGGAAUGCCAAUUGGGAAGCCAGCUUACUGGACAAAUACUGACGCUGAAGCGCGAAAGCUAGGGGAGCAAACAGGAUUAGAUACCCCUGUAGUC
rnacentral:rRNA from 1 species